AUCCAGCUGACGAAUCCUAAAUAGGAUGAAACGAGCAUCCCGUAU
rfam:Schistosoma rodhaini strain Burundi genome assembly, scaffold: SROB_scaffold0012104